GGUAGCUAUGUAGGGAAGGGAUAAGCGCUGAAAGCAUCUAAGUGCGAAGCCCACCUCAAGAUGAGAUUUCCCAUGAUUUUAUAUCAGUAAGAGCCCUGAGAGAUGAUCAGGUAGAUAGGUUAGGAGUGUAAUUGUGGUGACACAUUUAGCGGACUAAUACUAAUAGCUCGAGGACUUAUCCAAAA
rnacentral:rRNA from 1 species